UUGCAAGUAACUCUUUACAACUUAGCCAUUAGUAUUCUCUAUUUUACCUGCGAACACCCGUUAAUAAUAAUACUUGUCCCUUCUUUGAAAUACUUUGAGAUCUGUGGUUGAAAUCAGUUACAUAAAGUUAAUUGCUAUAAAUUUACAGAGAGUUCUCAUUCUGAAAAGGUCAGUACCUGAGUUGUUCCUGUAUGCGUUUAUCUGAAGACUAUUAUGUGGGAGCACCCAAAUGCCAGGAAAGUAGCACAAAGGGGGGUUGCUUCUCAGCUAAGAUAGAAAGCAGAAAGAUGCUGCUGUAAUAAUUUACAUUGUGUUUUAUGAAAUUCCUGUUACACAAAAUGUCGAUCUGUAUAUGAUCUUUCCUAUUCUGCAUGUGAAGUCCUUUUGGUGCUAGCCAAAGUCCAUCUAGUAGAUCAGAGUAGUUCUAGAUACUUCUGAUGUAAGUUCAAAAAUGAGGAAUGCCUUUUUUUUUUUUUUUUUUUUCCCUGCAAGGCUGUGUUUUAGCAGUUCUAAUCAAACACUUACCCUAACUCCUCCUCUCCAAGGGCUUUUGUUUGUUUUGAGGUGUUUCCAAAAGCACUUACGUGUACCAGGGAGUUCUAAUUCUGAAACCCGGAUCUAAGGUCCUAGUUGAGUGUGCAACAGUUGCAGUCACCCCUAGAAAUAAAACUUGCUUUGCUAAAACUACAGUGAUAACUCUGGACAGACUCAAGACAAAAACUUUGGUAGUCUUUCACAGGUAAUAAAAUUGUUCCUAACAAGUUUUACUGACAAUGCUGAUGCAAUGGCAAGCAAAUAUGACUCAGUGGAGAAAGAGGAAAAGGAACUGGAAAUGUAUAUUCUUUCUCCUCAACUCCUUAUGGAAGAGUAUUUUUCCAACGAAAGGGAACGCCGAAGAAAUAUGUAAACAAUGUUCCAGAUUAAAAAGUUGCCUUAAGUACACCUGGUGGAAGAUGGCAACGAGCAGGGUGAGCUCAAGGACUCCCGGAAACCCGGCUGGCUCGGUCCUGAAGAAUUCCCAGACGGACAGAGUAGCUGCGGACAGAGUGGCACCUGCGGGCACAGGCGCAGCCCCAGCGCUGCUGGGGGUAGAGGAAGCGAAACUGCCCCCGAUUGCCGCGAUGCCUCCUUUCCUGGACGGACUGGGGAUGGAGACGGCGGCCCGCGGGGCCCCGGCGGGGUGUCCGGGGCGGGGAGCGGCGCUGAGCCCGCCCCGCGCUCUGCCCCUUGACGUGGCGCGGACUCUCCCAUCAGCCAUGU